rnacentral:rRNA from 1 species
UACGUAGGGGGCAAGCGUUGUCCGGAAUCAUUGGGCGUAAAGCGCGUGUAGGCGGCCACGUAAGUCCGCUCUGAAAGCCCGGGGCUCAACCCCGGGAGGCGGGUGGAUACUGCGUGGCUCGAGUCCGGAAGAGGCGAGUGGAAUUCCCGGUGUAGCGGUGAAAUGCGCAGAUAUCGGGAAGAACACCCGUGGCGAAGGCGGCUCUCUGGGACGGUACUGACGCUGAGACGCGAAAGCGUGGGAGCGAACAGG